rnacentral:rRNA from 1 species
GGACCCGCACAAGCGGUGGAGCAUGUGGUUUAAUUCGAAGCAACGCGAAGAACCUUACCAGGUCUUGACAUCCUUUGACCACUCCAGAGAUGGAGCUUUCCCUUCGGGGACAAAGUGACAGGUGGUGCAUGGUUGUCGUCAGCUCGUGUCGUGAGAUGUUGGGUUAAGUCCCGCAACGAGCGCAACCCUUAUUGUUAGUUGCCAGCAUUCAGUUGGGCACUCUAGCGAGACUGCCGGUGACAAACCGGAGAAGGCGGGGAUGACGUCAAAUCAUCAUGCCCCUUAUGACCUGGGCUACACACGUGCUACAAUGGCAUAUACAACGAGUCGCCAACCCGCGAGGGUGCGCUAAUCUCCUUAAAGUAUGUCUCAGUUCGGACUGUAGGCUGCAACUCGCCUACACGAAGUCGGAAUCGCUAGUAAUCGCGGAUCAGCACGCCG